AUGAGUUGUAAUGGGGUUUGAUGCUGGCAGCCAAUUUUUUUUGGAUGCAUGUGCUUGCCCUGACAAUCAUCUUCCAAACACCUGUGCACAUUUUUGAGGGAAUCUCGAGUUGAUUGCCGGUUUUUGGCGAUUUUCUUGUAUUCCCUUAAAUCAUUAUACGCUGUUAGCAAAUACUGAACGUGCUUUGUGCCGCAAGGCCAUUAAUAUAAUA
rnacentral:misc_RNA from 1 species